GAUUGAACGCUGGCGGCAGGCCUAACACAUGCAAGUCGAGCGGUAGCACAGAGAGCUUGCUCUCGGGUGACGAGCGGCGGACGGGUGAGUAAUGUCUGGGAAACAGCCUGAUGGAGGGGGAUAACUACUGGAAACGGUAGCUAAUACCGCAUAACGUCGCAAGACCAAAGAGGGGGACCUUCGGGCCUCUUGCCAUCAGAUGUGCCCAGAUGGGAUUAGCUAGUAGGUGGGGUAAUGGCUCACCUAGGCGACGAUCCCUAGCUGGUCUGAGAGGAUGACCAGCCACACUGGAACUGAGACACGGUCCAGACUCCUACGGGAGGCAGCAGUGGGGAAUAUUGCACAAUGGGCGCAAGCCUGAUGCAGCCAUGCCGCGUGUAUGAAGAAGGCCUUCGGGUUGUAAAGUACUUUCGGCGAGGAGGAAGGCAUUGUGGUUAAUAACCACAGUGAUUGACGUUACUCGCAGAAGAAGCACCGGCUAACUCCGUGCCAGCAGCCGCGGUAAUACGGAGGGUGCAAGCGUUAAUCGGAAUUACUGGGCGUAAAGCGCACGCAGGCGGUCUGUCAAGUCGGAUGUGAAAUCCCCGGGCUCAACCUGGGAACUGCAUUCGAAACUGGCAGGCUAGAGUCUUGUAGAGGGGGGUAGAAUUCCAGUGUAGCGGUGAAAUGCGUAGAGAUCUGGAGGAAUACCGGUGGCGAAGGCGGCCCCCUGGACAAAGACUGACGCUCAGGUGCGAAAGCGUGGGGAGCAAACAGGAUUAGAUACCCUGGUAGUCCACGCCGUAAACGAUGUCGACUUGGAGGUUGUUCCCUUGAGGAGUGGCUUCCGGAGCUAACGCGUUAAGUCGACCGCCUGGGGAGUACGGCCGCAAGGUUAAAACUCAAAUGAAUUGACGGGGGCCCGCACAAGCGGUGGAGCAUGUGGUUUAAUUCGAUGCAACGCGAAGAACCUUACCUACUCUUGACAUCCAGAGAACUUAGCAGAGAUGCUUUGGUGCCUUCGGGAACUCUGAGACAGGUGCUGCAUGGCUGUCGUCAGCUCGUGUUGUGAAAUGUUGGGUUAAGUCCCGCAACGAGCGCAACCCUUAUCCUUUGUUGCCAGCGGUUCGGCCGGGAACUCAAAGGAGACUGCCAGUGAUAAACUGGAGGAAGGUGGGGAUGACGUCAAGUCAUCAUAGCCCUUACGAGUAGGGCUACACACGUGCUACAAUGGCAUAUACAAAGAGAAGCGACCUCGCGAGAGCAAGCGGACCUCACAAAGUAUGUCGUAGUCCGGAUCGGAGUCUGCAACUCGACUCCGUGAAGUCGGAAUCGCUAGUAAUCGUAGAUCAGAAUGCUACGGUGAAUACGUUCCCGGGCCUUG
rnacentral:rRNA from 1 species